GUCUCUGUGGCGCAGCCGGUUAGUGCGUUCGGCUAUUAACCGAAAAGGUUGGUGGUUCGAGCCCAUCCACGGACG